rnacentral:RNase_P_RNA from 1 species
GCUGCGGGCUGCUCUAUCGCGGCCCUGAAGUAGAGUGCUUGCGCUCCCACUUCAGGGAUGAGGAAAGUCCGGACAACGUAGAGCACCACGCCACCUAACGGGUGGGCCGCGGCCGUUAGCGCCGCGGACAGAAAGUGCCACAGAAAGCUAGACUGCCGACGCCUUGGCGAAGAGCGGAAACGGGCUUUGCCCGCCGAAGCUUAAGCGAAGGCGGGCGAGGGUGAAAACGUGCGGUAAGAGCGCACGCUCCGCCGUAGCAAUACGGAGGAGGGGUAAACCUCGUGGGUUGAAAUGCCGCGUACACCACGAUUCUUAACUGAAGCAGGCUCUUGCUCUGCUUUGGGUAAAGAGGCGGGUUGCUCGCCUGCCUGGAAACAGUCGUGGGGGGUAGGCAGAUGGACCC